AUUUUGCGGCAUUUAAUAAUUUAUAUAUGAAAAUAAUUAAAUUUGUUGCCUGGACCUGUGUCCUCAGAAGGUGAAGAAUUUGUCGCUAUCUUGGCAUACGUAAGGAAUUGAUUAAGCGAAUAAUAAAAAGGCCGAGUUUAUUUAUUCAACUAUUGAUAUAAAUUAAACAUUUAUUAAAAACACUUAGGGAUUUGUGCAAAACUUUAGUAAACAAAUUUUAAAAGUUUUCAAGUAAUUGCAUAAAAAGCAAAAUAAGUAUACCAACAAAAUAGUUACUUGUAAAUUAAACAUCGGUUAUAACAACAAACAGCAGCAAUAUUUUUUUUUUUUUUUUAAAGCAAUCUAACUUAAAUAAAAGAAACAGUUU